GGGCGUGUAGCUCAGUUGGUAGAGCGUGUCAUUAGCAUCCUCCUAUCUACUUUGACAAGGUCUUUGGUUCGAUUCCUAACUCGUCCA
rnacentral:tRNA from 1 species